rnacentral:rRNA from 1 species
GAUGAACGCUGACAGAAUGCUUAACACAUGCAAGUCAACUGUGGCGGACGUGUGAGUAACGCGUAAAGAACUUGCCUCACAGAUAGGGACAACAUUUGGAAACGAAUGCUAAUACCUGAUACUGUGAGGGAGCUUUGCGUCCCAUUAGCCAGUUGGAGAGGUAACGGCUCACCAAGGCGAUGAUGGGUAGCCGGCCUGAGAGGGUGAUCGGCCACAAGGGGACUGAGACACGGCCCUUACUCCUUCGGGAGGCAGCAGUGGGGAAUAUUGGACAUUAGGCCAAAGUCUGAUCCAGCAAUUCGGUGUGCACAGUAAAGUUUUCGGGAGGAAGAGUGCUUUCAGUUGGGAAGCGGUACCAACAGAAGAAGUGACGGCUAAAUACGUGCCAGCAGCCGCGGUAAUUC